UUAAGUUAGAAAGGGCGCACGGUGGAUGCCUUGGCACUAGGAGCCGAUGAAGGACGGGACGAACACCGAUAUGCUUCGGGGAGCUGUAAGCAAGCUUUGAUCCGGAGAUUUCCGAAUGGGGAAACCCACCACUCGUAAUGGAGUGGUAUCCAUAUCUGAAUACAUAGGGUAUGAGAAGGCAGACCCGGGGAACUGAAACAUCUAAGUACCCGGAGGAAGAGAAAGCAAAUGCGAUUCCCUGAGUAGCGGCGAGCGAAACGGGACCAGCCCAAACCAAGAGGCUUGCCUCUUGGGGUUGUAGGACACUCUGUACGGAGUUACAAAGGAACGAGGUAGAUGAAGAGGUCUGGAAAGGCCCGCCAUAGGAGGUAACAGCCCUGUAGUCAAAACUUCGUUCUCUCCUGAGUGGAUCCUGAGUACGGCGGAACACGUGAAAUUCCGUCGGAAUCCGGGAGGACCAUCUCCCAAGGCUAAAUACUCCCUAGUGACCGAUAGUGAACCAGUACCGUGAGGGAAAGGUGAAAAGCACCCCGGAAGGGGAGUGAAAGAGAUCCUGAAACCGUGUGCCUACAAGUAGUCAGAGCCCGUUAACGGGUGAUGGCGUGCCUUUUGUAGAAUGAACCGGCGAGUUACGAUCCCGUGCAAGGUUAAGCAGAAGAUGCGGAGCCGCAGCGAAAGCGAGUCUGAAUAGGGCGAAUUGAGUACGUGGUCGUAGACCCGAAACCAGGUGAUCUACCCAUGUCCAGGGUGAAGUUCAGGUAACACUGAAUGGAGGCCCGAACCCACGCACGUUGAAAAGUGCGGGGAUGAGGUGUGGGUAGGGGUGAAAUGCCAAUCGAACCUGGAGAUAGCUGGUUCUCUCCGAAAUAGCUUUAGGGCUAGCCUCAAGGUAAGAGUCUCGGAGGUAGAGCACUGAUUGGACUAGGGGCCCCUACCGGGUUACCGAAUUCAGUCAAACUCCGAAUGCCGAUGACUUAUCCUUGGGAGUCAGACUGCGAGUGAUAAGAUCCGUAGUCGAAAGGGAAACAGCCCAGACCGCCAGCUAAGGUCCCAAAGUAUACGUUAAGUGGAAAAGGAUGUGGAGUUGCUUAGACAACCAGGAUGUUGGCUUAGAAGCAGCCACCAUUUAAAGAGUGCGUAAUAGCUCACUGGUCGAGUGACUCUGCGCCGAAAAUGUACCGGGGCUAAACGUAUCACCGAAGCUGCGGACUGUUCUUCGAACAGUGGUAGGAGAGCGUUCUAAGGGCUGUGAAGCAAGACCGGAAGGACUUGUGGAGCGCUUAGAAGUGAGAAUGCCGGUAUGAGUAGCGAAAGAGGGGUGAGAAUCCCCUCCACCGAAUGCCUAAGGUUUCCUGAGGAAGGCUCGUCCGCUCAGGGUUAGUCGGGACCUAAGCCGAGGCCGAAAGGCGUAGGCGAUGGAUAACAGGUUGAUAUUCCUGUACCACCUCCUCACCAUUUGAGCAAUGGGGGGACGCAGGAGGAUAGGGUAAGCGCGGUAUUGGAUAUCCGCGUCCAAGCAGUUAGGCUGGGAAAUAGGCAAAUCCGUUUCCCGUGAAGGCUGAGCUGUGAUGGCGAGCGAAUUAUAGUAGCGAAGUUCCUGAUUCCACACUGCCAAGAAAAGCCUCUAGCGAGGUGAGAGGUGCCCGUACCGCAAACCGACACAGGUAGGCGAGGAGAGAAUCCUAAGGUGAUCGAGAGAACUCUCGUUAAGGAACUCGGCAAAAUGACCCCGUAACUUCGGGAGAAGGGGUGCUCUGUUAGGGUGCAAGCCCGAGAGAGCCGCAGUGAAUAGGCCCAGGCGACUGUUUAGCAAAAACACAGGUCUCUGCGAAGCCGUAAGGCGAAGUAUAGGGGCUGACGCCUGCCCGGUGCUGGAAGGUUAAGAGGAGCGCUUAGCGUAAGCGAAGGUGCGAAUUGAAGCCCCAGUAAACGGCGGCCGUAACUAUAACGGUCCUAAGGUAGCGAAAUUCCUUGUCGGGUAAGUUCCGACCCGCACGAAAGGCGCAACGAUCUGGGCACUGUCUCAACGAGAGACUCGGUGAAAUUAUAGUACCUGUGAAGAUGCAGGUUACCCGCGACAGGACGGAAAGACCCCGUGGAGCUUUACUGCAGCCUGAUAUUGAAUGUUGGUACAGCUUGUACAGGAUAGGUAGGAGCCUUGGAAACCGGAGCGCCAGCUUCGGUGGAGGCAUCGGUGGGAUACUACCCUGGCUGUAUUGACCUUCUAACCCGCCGCCCUUAUCGGGCGGGGAGACAGUGUCAGGUGGGCAGUUUGACUGGGGCGGUCGCCUCCUAAAAGGUAACGGAGGCGCCCAAAGGUUCCCUCAGAAUGGUUGGAAAUCAUUCGCAGAGUGUAAAGGCACAAGGGAGCUUGACUGCGAGACCUACAAGUCGAGCAGGGACGAAAGUCGGGCUUAGUGAUCCGGUGGUUCCGCAUGGAAGGGCCAUCGCUCAACGGAUAAAAGCUACCCCGGGGAUAACAGGCUUAUCUCCCCCAAGAGUCCACAUCGACGGGGAGGUUUGGCACCUCGAUGUCGGCUCAUCGCAUCCUGGGGCUGUAGUCGGUCCCAAGGGUUGGGCUGUUCGCCCAUUAAAGCGGUACGCGAGCUGGGUUCAGAACGUCGUGAGACAGUUCGGUCCCUAUCCGUCGCGGGCGCAGGAAAUUUGAGAGGAGCUGUCCUUAGUACGAGAGGACCGGGAUGGACGCACCGCUGGUGUACCAGUUGUUCUGCCAAGGGCAUCGCUGGGUAGCUAUGUGCGGACGGGAUAAGUGCUGAAAGCAUCUAAGCAUGAAGCCCCCCUCAAGAUGAGAUUUCCCAUUCCGCAAGGAAGUAAGAUCCCUGAAAGAUGAUCAGGUUGAUAGGUCUGAGGUGGAAGUGUGGCGACACAUGGAGCUGACAGAUACUAAUCGAUCGAGGACUUAACCAA
rnacentral:rRNA from 2 species